AAAGCAUGUGUGUAUUGCUUCUUGUACAGGAAGAAGACUAGUCUGUCACCCAAGGGCAGCCCGUAUGCAACAGAUUGAAGAGUAGCAUUUGCUGAAUAAAAGAAUUGCUGUCGUUACAAAUGAAAUGCACACCUAACAUGAAGACCUCUACCACAAGGCACCAGCAGCGAAUGAAGUAGAAAGCUCUCACCUAUGCAUGCACCUGUGUAUCCAGUGAGACUCGCCCUUUUCUCAGCACAGUUCCAAGUUUUAAAUUGUCAAGUUUCACCCUGAACAGAAUCAUCAUGUUGGAUGUUAUUCCCUCAAACAACAGACUAAGCAAUCGUAGAAGAAGAAAAUAAGACUAGUACUGUCACUCCUCCAAGCAGCAUUCUUGACUGGCAUCACUAGGUGUUUGAGGUGGUCAUUUCUGUGAGGACGGUCUCAGCCUCAAGGUACCCCUCAACACAUUUCUCCAGCAAUCACUGACACCCAAUUAAGGAUGCCUUGGAAAAGAAAAUCCACUGGGUCACUCUGACUUUUUUCUUCAGCCAGUGAUGAAGGAUUACCAUUUAGGAUUCCAAACACUCCCUGCCAUGACUGAACUUCCUAACAACAGUCAGAACUACUCCUAUAGGCCAAUCCCUGCUCUUCCAGCACAGAGGACGAUGUCUACCGACUCAAUGGCAAUAGCCACUUGUCCACAUCAUUUUUAAGCAGCAUCUACUUCUGGCACAGCUAUUUCAGAACCUUCAUUCCUUUGCUAUCAGUUUUGUAUGUUCUAGAUGUCUACAGAUGGUACCAGCAUCUGAGUGUCACCUCAGGGUACAGCUAGUCCAUCUCUACGAGAGGAGAGUGGCCAUCCUCACAGGUAAGAGUGUUGGUCAGACCUAUUUCCCACAUACUCCCUUGUUUUUAAAUAUCUUGAUCUAAACCUAAUUAGAAAAAAAGUACCAAAGAACAUGACCUUCAUCCCCAAAUUAUUUGCUGUCCUUCUUAAUAUAGAUUUUAUUAGGAAGAAACAAUCUCUCUGCCUUCCUAAUUCUUAGUUCUCCUGUGUUUCUUCACUAAUCUCAUAAUCCAGCCCAGGAUUUGCUUAAAUUUUAUUUGUUUGAAUAACACUUUCACACACUUUACCAACUAUACUCAGGUAGAUAUACAGGUAGAUAGCUCCUUUGUUCUGCACUGAUCUACUUGUCCCAAGCAAUAAGAGCCAUGGACUACUUUCAUAGUUUUAUGAUAUACAUUAAAAAAUACUAACCAUUAAAAUGUAAAAUGACCAACACCAUUUAAAACAAUCCUAACUGUGAACAUAACUCUUUGAAAAACAAUGAUUCACAUGAGAGAAGUUCUCAAUACUGACACGUAAGAAUCACAUGGGAAAACAUUUUUUUAAAAAAUUCCAAUGUCUAGAUCUCACCCCAGACCAAUUAAAUCAGAGAGGAUAUCUGAGAAUAAUGCUAUAUGUAAAAGAGAAAAAUUCAUCGUGUAGAAACUCUUCACUCUAAACUGAACUGUGUGAAAACUUCAGGAUAGAGGAGUAGACAGGUGUUUUUCUAACUGACUUCUGGCAUCUUCUCUCCCAGCAGGGAUAUAUGAACUAGCGUAUGAUUUCCAUGCUAAUCAAUGGUUCUGAUAAAAUUUCUAAUUUCAGAAAGAUUAGUAGGCUUUAGGCUUUGCUUACAAAUUCAAUUUUUCCAUGUUCAUUCAAGUCGAACAAAACAAAUCUUUAUAAAGAAAUACAUAGUAUGUUACUCCCCAUGUGUACAUUGGGCACAGCUAUUUCAGAACCUUUGUGAUUUCUCACUUCUACAUAUCUAGGAUCUCAAGCAGUAUCUGGCACAUAGUAAGUCCUCAAAACAUGGUCAUUCAAAUAAAUAAAUGAAUAAGUACACAUUGCUCUAAUACUUUCAGAAUAUAAAUUAUGUCAAAAUAUUUUAUAAUUACUUGCCCUUUCUCUUGAACCACAUCAUCUCUACUGUGUCUAUUAUGAAGAUACCUUUUAAGAUUUCAAAGAUGAAACCUAAAGUUUUCUAAUAUUUCUUUUCUUCCUAGGAAGUAAAGUAAGAGAUAAAUGCUACUUUGAUAUUCUGUCCUUGCUGUGCAUAUUUUGGUGCUUGUAGUUUGAGCUAAUGCCAUCAAUUUCAGAAGAUGCAACUGCGACUGACCAGGAUUAGAGAAGAGCAGUAAUUCAUUUAUAUUCAAGAUACUGUCUGUCCAUGCCUGGCACAUAGGAAGUGCUCAGUAAAUCUGUCAUGGGGGAGUUUUCGCUCUGGCACUGCAUAAAAGCUCUGGCAGGCCCCACAAUGUCACCAGUCUUUUAGCCUUACCUAUUACAUUCAAGCUCCAAAAUUUUCUUUUUCUUUUUUUUUUUUUGUUGUUAGUGCAAUAUAAUUUUCAAAUUAUUUGGAUUCAUCGUGAUAAAUGUAUACAUACACAUUAGCAUAAUUUAGUUGAUUUCAUUGACCAGUAUCUCCCAUUUUCCUCCCACCAUCCUUUCCCUGAUUCCUAUCUUUUAUUCUACUAGUAUCCUUUCUAUUUUCGUAAAAUCGUGUAUUUCCUCCUCUUUUCUUCUAAAUUCAACAUGUAAAAGAAACAUAUAACCAGUGACCUUCUGAGUCUGACUUAUUUCACUUACCAUCAUGUUCUCCAGUUUCAUCCAUUUUUCCUGCAAAUGACAUAGUUUCAUUUUUCUUUAUGACUGAAUAAAACUUCAUUGGGUAAAUAGAACACAUUUUUAUCCAUUCAUCCAUUGACAGAUAUCUAGGCUGAUACCAUAACAUGUCUCUUGUGGACUGUUCUGCUUAAACAUGGGUAUGCAGGCAUCACUAUAGUAUGCUGACUUCCAUUCUUUAAGAAAAAUACUGAGCACUGGUAAAGCAGGGUCAUAUGGUACAUUCCAUUUCUAGUCUUUUGAGGGAUUUCCAUACUGAUUUCCACAAUGAUUGCAUUAAUUUGUAGCUGCAACAACAGUGUUCCUUUGCCCCACAUUCUUGCCAGCAUUUAUUAUUAUUUGUUUUCUUGAUGGUUGCCAAUAUAACUGGAGUAAAAUGAAAUUUCAGUGUAGUUUUGAUUUGCAACCUCUGAUUACUAAGGAUGUUGAACAUCUUUUUUUUUCAUCUAUUUGUUGGCCAUUUGUGUUUCUUCUCUUCAGAAAUGUCCAUUUGGUUCAUUUUCCCAUUUAUUGAUUAGAUAAUUUAUGAGGAGGGUUGGUGGCAAGUUUUUUUUUUUUUUUAUUUCUUCAUACAUUCUGGAUAUUAAUCCUCUGUUGGAAGAGUAUCUGGUAAAGAUUUUUCUCCCAUCAUAAAUUUUUCAUUGAAGAUCUGCUACUCAUAUUUUCUGAGCUUCAUGAGUAAAUGACUACAAGAUCCUGGCAAUUCAUAUUAUGGUGAUAUCUCUGACUAAGACAUAAUAAGCUAUAUAGUUUGAGCUAAUGCCAUCAGUUUCAGAAGAUGCAGCUGCAUUUCAUGUCCCUGAUGGAUGAUUUUUUUUCCUUCAGAAUUAGACUAGCACCAACUACUACCAUAUGUUGAAGACAAAGCUCAACAAUCUUAGACUCUUCUCCUUUACAUGUUUUUCAUACACUUUUUAUCUAAAGCUCAAGCUCUGGAUUUUCUUUUCUUAAGACAAGAUGCCAGAAAGAAAUAUUUUGUGUUCUCCAUUGCUAAGCAGUAGCACAUAAUGCGAACACAAAUUCCAUUCUACUUUCUAGUACCAAAGAAAGAAGGAAAACAUAGCUUUGGCCAAUAACAGCAAAGAAGUUGAACUGCAUCCUGAGAGGACAGGAAGGAUAAACAUGGCACUCUAUUGUUCUAAGCAGCUCUAUUAUGGGAAGGAUGCUAAUUCCUCUCAGACAGACUAGAAAUAGGAAUGUGUGGGUGGUGAAAAAGCCUCCUCAUAUGAAGCCAGGAUAAAAUCCAUUUCCCUUAGUUUCUAUUUUGGGAGAAAAAAGUCAAGAGGUUGAUGAGCAAUGCAGAGCAAGUUAAAUCAUAUUUUCCUUUUUAUUUAUAUCCAUCCAUCCAUUCGUACAUUCCUUCUUUUGUGUUCAUAGGUGAUUAUUAAACAUGUACCAGCAAUGUGUUUGCCUCCAGGACACUAAAAUAAGGGAAGCAUAGUAUAGCCAUUAAUAAAUUGAAAUGUAGUUGGGAGAUGGUCACCUAUACAGAAUAUUAUAAUACAAGCUUUCUGAAGAACAUGCUCCCUGAUCUUUUUAAUUUAAUAAUUUGUUUUAAUUUAAUUCUCGACAUAAAUUUAGUUGACUAGAUAAUUCCACUUCACAUUGGUAAAAUUUGCUCUUUACCCAUACACACCUAGCCAUACUAAUUUUUACAUGAGUGCAAGUUAAGUUUUGAGGGAGAAAGUUAAGAUGGUGUACAAAUGGGAAUGGUAUUAUGUCACGUACAGGAAUUUGCAUGAGCAAAGGCUUGAGGGAACAAAUGUGCGUUAAGCAGAUUGCAAACUGUUUUGCAUGAAAGGAAUGAAGAGCAAAUUGAGAAGGUGACCAUGUAAUUUAUCUUCCCAAAUGAUACAUUUUUGAGAGUGAAAUGGAAUGUAAAUAUAAUCUAAAUUAUGUCAUUUAAAAUGUUGACAUAUUUACUUAAAAUAAUUAUUAUUGUUGGCUAAAUAAAAUUCCAAUGUGUAUACAUGACACAUUUUUUUCUUCAGUCUCCAUUGAUGGAGUUUAUUCAGUCAUAAAUAAAAAUGAAAUUAUGUCAUUUGCAGGAAAAUGGAUGGAACUUGAGACCAUUAUGUUAAGUGAAAAAAUACAAACUCAGUAGGUCAAGGUUGUAUGUUUAUUCUCCUAUGUGGAAGCUAGAGGGGAAAAAAGAAAACAAAGAUGGGGGAGAGGACCUCAGGAAAAUAGAAGGGAGAUCAGUUGAGUAGAGGAAAAAGACCAGGAGGAGGUAACAGGGAAGGAAAAGGAGAAAUACUGGGGAAUGAUAUUGACCAAAAUAUAUUGUUAUAUUAUGUGCAUGUAUGAAUAUGUAAUAAAAAAUCCAAUCAUGUACAAUUAUAAUGAACCAAUAAAAAUAUGGAGAAAAUAAAUAAAUAUAUCAAAAUAAAAUGUUCCUAAAUUAUAUCUUUUUUUUUUUUUUUUGGUAUUGAGGAUUGAAGCCAGAGAUGCUUUGCACUGAGCUAAAUCUCCAGCCCUUUUUUAUUUUUUAUUUUGAGACAGGGUCUCACUAAAUUGUUUAGGGCCUUGCUAAGUUUCAGGGGCUGGUCUCAAAUUUGUAAUCCUCCUGCUUCAGCCUCCCAAGUUGCUAGGGUUCAGGCCUACACCACCACACCUGUUCCCUAAAUGAUACCUUAAAAAUGAUUAUUAUUUAGUAACUAUUUUCAAAUAUAAAAUUCUUUAAAAAAUUAAAAAUCACAUGUCUAUGCAUUUUAAAGUAAAAAUACAGGUCUAUUUAUCUGUAUGUUACAAACAUAACAUAGAAUAAUUAUUCUUUGCAUAACCUUUUUAGUUUAAUAAGUAUCUGAGCCAGUGCAAUCAGUGCUAGCAACAUUAACUAUCUCUCCCUUUUCACCCAAGGUCCCAAAGUUAUGAGCUAUUCCUAACUAUUUGUUAAUUAAUGAAUACUCUGCAUCCUGUCUUUGAAAAGAAGAUGAUAGUUGUAUUAUAACUGAAAAGGAUUAGACAAUGGAAAGUGGUCAUCACUGGUUAUCUUUCAUAUUUAGCCACAUAAUAUAGAACGAAUGCUCUGACGUAGACACAAUUCAUCAUUACUAAAUAGAACACGGCAAAAACUGGAAGUACAAAGUAUAGCAAACCCAUCACAGCUUACUUUUAUACAACAGUUAAUAAUAAUAACACUUUAAUAAAAUUUUUUAAAAACUAAGCAAGUACUAUACUAGAUAGGGCUCUAACACAACAUUCAUAAACCGUUCUGUUCUAGGCAGACAAAAAUUGAGAGAGUGGUAAGAUAGAAAGCUACAGAAAGAAAGAAGCAAGGCUAGAUUAAAGAGGGCCUCAUAUACCACGUAAAGAAGCUUGGAAUUACGCAAGGGCAAGCUGGUGAAGAGUUUCAGAAGAAAUGUGUUUAGUUAGAAUACUGGCUGUUGGGAGGAAGACUUGGGAGAGAGCCAGAGUUACUGCUCUAUUUGUUCUUGAGAUAGCAAACCAGAAGCUCCUAGGCUGCGUGCUGCCCAUGUGGAUAUUUUUCAUUUUGUUUUGUUCUUUGCUUGCUCAAUGCUAAUGUGCACAGUAUUUAACAAACUGAAUUUGCACAGUCUUAACAACUCAAUAGCAGAUUUCACAUAAAAAUUUGGAUUGCCAGCUUCUGUUGAAAUCUGAAAAAGCCAGGAUAACCAGACAUGCUUUUCUGAAUGACAAUUGGCAGAAAUUGAGUAACAGUUGCCCUUUAGAAUGUGAGAUGCACUGUUCAACCUAACUGCCUCUCCUGCUUUCCUGACAUACACUAAAUGCCUGGUCUGGGGGCACCUGAGCUGGGAAUUUCCAGUGUAACUGCCCUUUAUUUGGGCGACUCUUACCAGAAAUGGUCAUAAGAAGGAAAAUAGGUACUUAAAGUAGCAGCUGAAUUCUUAUUAGAUUCCCCAACUAAAUAGCACAGAAGUAUGGUCAAGACAGAUGAGAAGAUAAGCUUCAGAUAUGGGAGACAGUGAUGCCCAUUUAUAUGAUUACAUCAAUCAUUAUUUUGAUUUUAUAAUAGCACUUUCUACUUUAGCUAAGAUGGUGAAAAUAGCCAAAUAUAAAGUAAUCCAAUGACCACUUUCUCCCUCGAAUUCCAAGCAGUAAAUGACCAGAAGGAAAUACCAUUUCAUUUAUAGUUCCUGGGUCACUCCCAGAUAACUAGAGCAGGGCAAGCCAACACUCACCUCUCACUCUCUUUGGUCAAGAGCUUCACUGGGAGAUGGAACUUGGGUGAUAGAAGCAUAAUCAUGUGGUAGGUAAGGAUGAUUCACUGUGCUUGAUUACUUUCUUCACUGAUUGCUACAGAGUCUUGGGCAACUAAUUCAGUUUUUCUCCUGAAAAAAAUUAAAAGUAUAAUAAUAGUUGCCUUGACAACAUAACAGCAUUUUUUGCAAGGAUAUCAAUUAAGACAAGGUAAAUGAAACAAAUGCAAACCAUAAAAGAUCAUACAAAUAUAUUACAUUAUUUCUCAAAUUUCUAUAAAUGAUGCUGAAAAACAUGAAGACAAUGAUUCUAUCUUUGGAAACUUAGCCAAAGGAGAAACUACUAUCCUAAUGAUAGCCAAGAUUGCCAUUCAUUCAUUCAUUCAUUCAUUCAUUCAUUUGUUCACUAUUGAUUGAACUACCAUGUGCAUUCAAGGUGGGUAUUGGUACCUUCUAUUAAGUCCAAAGUCUCCUGUAAAGUUUUUAAAAUCUUUUAUUCAGGGAUAUUAUAAAUUCACUUGUAAUAAUUGGCACUUCAGAGAUGACAGAGAAAAUUUGCUAAAACAACAGUGUAAAUAGUGGGCUAGAGGCCUCAGCCAUUUCCUCAGUCAGUAGUGGCACCUGCUAAUGCUGCGGCCUGGGCUUUCCCAUGGCUCAACGUGUUGGUGUCUGGCACUUGGCAAGAGCUCAGUGUUGGUGAAAAGGAAUUAAACAAAUGACUUUCCUUUGUACAAGAAUCAUCAGAUGCUAUAUCUGAGGGAGAUGGUUGAGGUUCCUAAUCCAGUUCCCUCAUUUUGCAGAAAAGGAAAUAGCAGCUUACUAAUGCUAAAUCCCCAGGUUAUGCAAGCAGUUAACCAAAGCCUUUAGACUUCAAAAACCAUCUUUAACUUACAGUUCUAUGCUAUCUCAGCAUGGCAUGGUGUGUUUUGCUUUUAACAAACACUGGACUCUAUUUUGAGAGUUUAUUAAUAGAAAUAGCCUUACAUUUGCAAAACAGUGAAAACUAGCACUGAUUUGCCUAAUAGGCUUCCUUAAAGAACCAUAAAAUCAUGAUGUUAAUAAAGUACUUCACAGAUUUCACAAGCUAUAUCGCUUAUAGCAAUUGUGGCCAAAGUUUAUGAACAAGCGAUAGAAGCACAUUAAGUCUUUCAACCACGAAGGUAACAUUUAAAGCAAAAUUCAAAAUCAUACCAUAGAAGUUGUUCUGAAAAAAAAAAAUCAACGUUACUAGCCUCCUUCUUGGCAAAACAAUGCCCACAAUGGGCAAAAUCUCAACAGCAAUAUAAAACUAGCACAAAUCAUGUUUUCAUUUUACUUUUUCCCUCACAUUUAUAUUCUUGAUAAAAAACAACAGUAUCCCCACCACCACCAAAAGAAAACAAGUAUUUUGCAUCAGACAAUUACUGGGCUGUAUGAACAAAUGAACUCACUCAUGUAUCCAUUUUCCAACCUAGACUCUUCUGUUGAUGUUGGAGGAAAUUAUGGGCGGUACUGCCUGAGUUCCCUGAAGGAAGGGCAGUACAUACACUAAUCUCAGUAGCCAUUGGAACCUGGAAAUAUUCCUCAGUGCCUUCUUCCCACAGUUCUUCCGUUAUCUCCCCUUCAUAUGAAACUCUUGAUCUUAGAUCUUUUUUUUUACAUAAUAUUUUUACAUAAUAUUUUUUACAUAAUAUUUUUUACAUAAUAUGAUAACAUUCUUCAUGGAGCAUGAUUAAGAUCCUACUGUCUACAACACCACUGACAAAAAAGUAAGCUAGCUAGACCUGCAUAGAUGCUCCUUAAGGAAUCUGGCCUUGCAGUAGAAGAUGUUAAAUUACAGCAAAUUGGUUAUCAGGAGUGAUACUUUGCUGGGCCCAUCAUCAUAGGCAGAAAAAAUAUUUAUAUUUUUUAUAGAAAUAUUUAUAGAAAAAUAUUGUUCCCCUUUUUCUUGGUUCCUGGAGGAAGGCAUCAGGUCUGUUUGAGUCCUAAGUGAGAAAACUUUUGAUAAUAUCUGGCAUUUGGGGGAAGGAGUGAUAUCUAGGAGUGAAGGUAAAGGGAUUUAUUGUGAGAGCUUUGUAACUAUUUCAUGCUUUCAAACAAAAUCAACUACACAAAUUAAAGUUGUAAGAAAUACAAUGUGAUAGUUAAAAUAUAAGCGUUUACCUCAGAACGUGUUUAAACUAUUGGGCUGCCCCUGACAAUGGCCUAGUCAGGGGAUGAAAGAUUGGCCCUUACUUAUAAAAUAGAGAUCUGAUACCAUCUGAUGGGAAUGUCGUGAAGAUAAGGGAAAUAAAUUCUAGAUGAUUUAUCUAGAGGGCUGAAUCCCUAAGUGCUGAAUAAACUGUGGUUUUUACUAUUAUAAAUAAUAAAACCAAAGUUGGGCAACUUAAUCCCUAAGUAGUAUGUCCUUGCUCUUUAAGAAUUCAAGAGGCUUUAUAAUUUACCCAGAAAUAUGUGAGGGAUCAUUAGAUUGAUCUUAACCUCAGGAGCCUAUUGAUGAAAUGAGAACAUUUAUUCCUAUCUUAAGAGGAGCCUUGGCUAUAGUGAGGAUCAAAGCUCUGUACUUCCAGGGGGUAGGCUAUGUGCUGGCACAAGGGAGGCUCUGCAAGGUGCUAGAAAUUUCUUCCAAAAUAAUUCCAUUGAUGAAAUCCUGAUCCAUUCACCCCCAAAUACUUGACAACAAAUCCUCUUCUCUAAGCAAUGCAGAUUUCAGCAGAAUGUAAAGGAAAAGGCCAAAGAAGAAAAAAUAUCCAGGGUGAUUUCAUUCAAUGAUAUUUUCCUGUCCAAUUUAAUUUGCUUCUCUCUAGUAUGAAAAAGUCUAAUGACCAAGUAUAAUGAAGGAUGGAAAAUUACAAUGCUGCUUUUAGUGUCAUGGUAAGAAACCAGUUCCUCCAAAUUAGGGCUGCCUGAUAAAAUACAGGAUACCCAGUUAAGUUAGAAUUUGAAACAAAUAAUAGAAUUUAAUUUUUUUUUCUUUUCUUUUCUUUUCUUUCUUUCUUUCUUUCUUUCUUUUUACUAAAAGCAGAUUCUAGGCCAGUCCUGAUCUCUGGAGGUGGAUUUAUCAAAAUGGUAAGGGGCACCUCCAAUGAUCAGGAUCCAUGUCAGAUAUACAUUUGGGAUCUACGUAGUUAACUUGGUGCCUGUAUUUUUAUUUGUUUAAUCUAGCAACCCUAUUCCUUUAACUGAAUUAUACUCAACUCUACAUUAUUUCUCAUAGUUGAUCACCUUUCAAAAAUAUAUUCUGAGACCCUUUUAGACAUUUAUUAUUUUAAGCAGAUGACAAAAUUAUAGAUUAGAAAGUCAUUGAAUUUACUCAUUUCAUAACUUCAUUUCACAUAAUUGUUUUGUAUAUGAAUUAUAAUUCCAUAAGGAAAAUAUUAAUAUGUAUAUAAAUAGAGCUUAAUUCUCCAUAGACACAAAGGAAAUAAACAUGCCAGUAUACGCUCUGGGAACCAGAUAGAGAGGUUUUACUUUCAUAAAUUGGAACCAUCUGGAUUUUACAUACAUAUUAAGGCCCAUGAAACCUUAGACAGAAUGAAACUUCCAAUUUCAAAUUCUGAACAGUUUUCACCAAUGAUUUCACAGCAGAAAGAUGAAUAUUUUGUACAUGAAAUGAAAUCAAUGUUGUGCUGUCAUUGACAAUGCUAGGUUCAUGCCAUCAAAGUUUUGAUAUUUUUUAGCCCACCUUCUGGUGACUAAAAGAUGAAUUCUGUGAAAUUCAUCACAAAUCCAUAGUGAACCGUCAUAGUGCUGAAAAUUCCUACAGGCAGUUUUUAAUGAAGUUCCCCUAUCACAGGGAGACCUACUUGCUCAUCAGAACCAUUCAGUGUGUGAGAGGUUUGAUAGGAUAUAGCAGUUAGGCUUAAUAAGAUCUUUGCUUGCUUAAGUCUCUCAAGCUUUAUGGACAUUUUGGAGUGUGUAGUAAUCUUGAUGACCUCUAGCCCCUGAACUCAUCACGGGUAAAUUCCACUUCCCUCUGAAUUUCCUGCACAGUCCCUAGUGGUUUUGAUUCCAAAUCAGUAAGACCCAAUCCUUGACCUCAAAAGUGCUAUGGGGACAAUAAGGCUGCUAUCUUGGUCAUAACCACUCUCCAUCCAUGGUUAUUGUGCUCGCUCCACUUCCUCAAGAAUAUUGUAAAAAUAAACUGAGACAGGAUUCUCCAGCCCAGCCUGGCUGCACCUAGUGGCUUCUUGCAGGUAGAGGGCAUGCCUUCCAGUGAACACCACUGGGCAAGUUGCUUUUUUUAAAAUAUUCCACAUCUUCCUCUCAAAGCACCCAGGACAAAUAACCAAUGCUGGAUCAGAACUAUUUUAAUGUUUCUUAUUGUGUCUCUCUCAAAAGAAUCUCUCUCCGCUGACCUUGUUCCCAAUGCCCCAGUUGGUCUUCCAUGCAUCUCAAAUCUAUUCUUCACUAUACAGAAUUCUCCUACUUGCCUAGGGCACUUUGUCAGUCUUUUAUUUCUUGAAGCUAACUUUAGGACCUUAGAUCAUAUCACAAAUUUAAGUGUUUUCUUCUCUAUUCUUUCAAAAUUACUAAUGUACUCAUUGUAAGUAAUGGUCAUAGCAACCCACUGAUUUGUUCAUUAAUUCCUCCAUUUAUUCAAAUAACAUUUUGGCUCGACAAUGUAAAGCCACAUUCUUUGACUCCUGCCCUCAUGAAUCUUGUAGGAGAGACAAGUACAGUAAAAAUAACAUUAAAAAUAUUAUCGAAUGUCCUCUUUUUCUCUAAAUCGUGUUGUCCUGUGACUUCUCACACAUUAAAACAAUAACAUUUAUUUUUCUCCAGGGAAAAUACAGUUCUUGCCUAAAACAAAGGGUUUGGGCUUUAAAUUAGACUUUUAGGCACAUUGAGAGUGUUGGUCUUAAAAGUGAGGUUUCCUUAGGAGAAAAAGAAGCUUUCUGAAUCCUUAAAAUUUUCUUUAAAUAUUGGAGAUGAAAUUUUAGAAGAUUAACUCAGACGUAAAUUAUAGAACAGGAAGGGCAGUAUUCAAGAAAGUUCAUGGAAUCAGGGAAAUUCUAGUUCCAGUGGAAAAAAAAAUUGAAUAAAUAAAUAAAACCUUCUAGGAGUGUGGAAAGAGAAAAAGGCUGACAACAGGUAAAAAACAAGUUAAGAUGCUUCAUUGGACUCUUUAAGACCCAGCAUGCAUCAUUGUAUAGACUUCAUCCAAAUCUGGGGAUAGGGAGCCACGUGAUAGGUUUGGGAAGUGUGAAAGCACCUUAGACCAAAAUGAGCACAAAAUGAGACUGUCUAAGUUGCUCCUUUUGGAAGACAUUAUAAUAAUCACCAAGCGUUCCCAUUCAUCUUUUCUAGGCACAAGCUCCCUGAAAUUAGGUACAGCCAUUACUUUAGCAUGAACUUGUUAGGUAGUAGUUAGUAAUGAGCCGUGAAAUAUGAACUAAUAACAUAGCAAGGGCUCAGUGUUUCUUUGAAUUGAUUUUAAUGAACAAUCAAGUAACUCAUAAAACAACAGAUGUACUAACCCUGACAAUAAACACAUGGAAACAAAGGGAGCUAAUUAAGAAAUCAGUUAAGGACAUCAUUACCCUAGGUACAUGUAUGAUUGCACAAAUAGUGUGACCCUACUUCAUGUAUAGGCAGAGAAGUGAAAACUUAUGCUCCAUUUGAGUACAAUGAAUCAAAGAGCAUUCUGCUGUCAGUAUAACUGAUUAGAACAAAUAAAUUUAAAAAAAGAAAGAAAGAAAAGAAAUAAGUCAACAAGGAAAGAUCCACAGGGAUAACUCCUGUGCGGGUCUACUGAAGUCAUUGAAAAGUUAAGAUUUAUGGCCAUAGGUUUCUCAACAUAUUCCAGGAGGGAAAUUUCAUUAUGAGCUCAGGUUCACUAAGAUGAAGUCUACCUGGUCAUUGACCCCAGCACCUGUAUUAAAAUAGAAUUGAUUUGUAGCAUUUUAUCACAUGUUUGUCAUAACAGAUUUAUUUUUGCAAAUUUUUUGGGGGGGCUUGGGGGGUAUCAGGGAUUGAACUCAGGGGUAUUUAACCACUGAACCAUAUCCCCAGCUCUUUGUAUUUUAUUUUGUUUUUAUUUUGAGACGGGUUCUUCCAAGUUGCUUAGGGCCUUGCUAAGUUGCGGAGGCUGGUUUUGAACCUUUUCUCCUGCCUCAGCAUCCCAAGCCACUCGGAUUACAAGUGUGAGCCACCACGCCUAGUUAUUUUUGAAAGUUUAAAAAAAUUCAUGGGAGCGGGUACAUACCACAUACAAACUUCUCCUUGCACUAACACACAAAUCUACUUCUUAUUUAACAUUGAAAUGUCAUCAUAUUUUUGCAUAUAGUGUAUUUCAUUUUCACUGCUUAAGUUUAAUCUAUGUUAAAUUCUUCAAUUUGACAUUUGUGCUUUUAUUUUUACACUUUUACAAAUAUAUAUUGCUUUCAACAUUUUGCACACUCUUCCAAAAUAUAUGUGCUAGGUUUUUUUCUGUGGAGUAGUUGUAGUUAAAUCUCUGUGUCAUAGAGUAAGGGAAUUUUUAAUUAAGAAAAUAAAUUAUUAUUAUUUUGUAUGUUGGUUUAUUAACUCACAAUAGGAUUCAAGUGUAGAUACUAAGUUGUACUAAUUUACAUUGCCAUUCAAAAAAGCAUGAUGACAUUUAGUCAUUGCAACACGAGAUAUUUGAAAUUUUCAUAUUUUCUGAUUUGAUACAUACAAAAUGCCAUGUCAUUGUGAGUUUGCUUUGAAUUUUUCAGAUUAUUAGUGAUCUUUAAAAUGUGUUGUUUGUUUAGCUAAUUCCUAUCCCUCUACUUUUCCUAUUACUCCUCUUUCCAUUUAUUUUCAUUUAUUUGUUAGUUGGAUCAUUACUGCAGUAUCAUAGCACGUAACAAUGGAUUACAUUCUAUUAUUAUUGUUGUUGUUACCUGUUGUAAAAAACUGCAACCAAAGGUAUCUUUUAAAGCUGAUACACUAAGCAAAAGAUAUUAAACACACUUACUACAAAAAUUAACACUAGGAACUAUAAUAUUAAUGACUAAAUGUGAAUGGUGAGGGCAGACAAUAUAAGCUAAUUUUAGAGAAGACAAUCUAAGCUAAUUUUAUUCUUAUUAAGAAUGCAAAACUCAUAGGUACUCUAAUGAAAUUGGGAACUAAGUAUUACAUAAAAGUAUAAGAAUAAAGGUAACCAAUGGAGCAAUUUACAAACCUAUCUAAAUGCAAGAAUAUCUAUAAUAAAAGGGGGGGCAGUAGGGAAAGAACAUAUGGUAAACGAUUUGAGUGAAGAAAAGGGGAAAACAAAAAUAAACAGUAACUUUUUUAAAACAAAACACCGGGAAAGAUUCAAAAGGUCAGCUUCACUGUGGAACUAAUAAAGUUUUAGAAUCAGAGGAAUUUCAAAGCCCCAGAAAGGCUACAUUGAGGUCAAAUGGUUAUGUUUUCAUAAAUUGUUUAUAAAUUAAAUAUUUGAAUUACAAGUAGCACCAAGUUUGUAUUUGAAAUUUUGUUUUCUUUUCCUUAAAAUGGGUCACAAAUUCCAGAAACUUUUUGAUCCAAAACCUUGGAUCCAAUUUUCCUGAGGAACUAAUGAGUUAGUUUUAAGAAACUAAUAAAAAUAUGAAUGAAUUUGGUGGGAGGAAUGGGAGAUAUGGCGAGAUACAUUGAGAGCAAGACUUUAUAACUUCAAAUAUAUGACUUUUAGUUUCUAAGUCAUGUAAAUAUAGUCUCUAUUAAGAAUGUGUAAACUUUCUUUUUUUAAUAUUUGAUUUUAUUUUUUAAAUACUUUACAGCAGAAUGCAUUACAAUUCUUAUUACACAUAUAGAGCACAAUUUUUCAUAUCUCUGUAUAUAAAGUAUGUUCACACCAAUUCAUGUCUUCAUACAUGUACUUUGGAUAAUGAUGUCUAUCACAAGAAUGUGUAAACUUUCAAAAUUAACUUUAAAAGACUGAGGUUAAAUGUUGCUGUGAACAAGAUUAUUUAAGAUCAUUGAAAAAGCAUUUAGUGUCAUUAAUCAUAAUUACAUACAGUAAAUGCAUUAUUUGAGCAGAAACGUAUACAUAAAAAGGCAAAACACCAAACAUAUAAAUAAAAAGAAAGAAAAGAAACAUGUGAAUAGAUAUUUGAGACCAUGUUUUAGUAAACUUUUCAUCACUAUAGCCAAAGUAGCUGACAAGAAUAUCUUAGAGGAGGAAAAGUUUGUCGGGGCUCAUGGUUUCAGAAGUUUAUCCAUGUUCAGCCAAGUCCAUAUCUCUUGGCCCAAGAUGAAGAAGAAUAUCAUGAUGGAAGGGCAUGGUGGAGGAAAGUUCAUGAAGCUCAGCUCAUGAUAGCCAGGCAGGAGAGAGAGAGAGAGAGAGAGAGAGAGAGAGAGAGAGAGAGAGAGAGAUCCAUUACACCAGAUAUAAUUCCCAUUGACUUAUUUUCUCCAGUCUCGUCCCAUCUGCCUCCAGUUACAACCCAGUUAAUCAACUCAAUUUAUUUAUUCAUCAAAUGUAUUAAUCUACUGAUUAGUUUACAGCUGUCAUAAUCUAAACAUUUUACCUUUGAACAUUCUCGCAUUUUCUAACAAGAACUUUUGGGAGACACCUCAUAUCCAAAACCACAAUAGAUUAGGAUAAAAUUUCUGGAAAAACAUUAUAUGAUAAUACAUCAAGUAUUGUAUCUCCAACAGUGUUUUUUGGGUAGAAGUAGAGAUGAUGUGUUCUAGAAAUCCGUUUGUUUGAUGGCUCACAUUGGUUGUAGUCAUAAAUAAGAAUAAAAUGCCAAUUCAGUAUGUGAAGUUUGAAUUGAAAAGUCAUUUAUAGGGUAAAAUAAAAUAAAGCAUUGUUAACAUAAAUGCAAUUUUUACAAUUUAAAAUAUUUUUUUAAAAUUGAAAUGCUUUGAGCAACCCACUUCAUGAGAGUAAAAAUAUAUACUUUUUCAAGGUAACUGGUUAGAAGUUAACACUAAUUUCUAGGCAAAAAUUUUCCUGUUUUAAAGUGAAUGUUUGUAUAUGGUAUAUUAUCCAGGUGGGUGGGGUUAGGUUUAAAAUUUAGGGAAAGAAAUGAAAUUGUUGUGAAAAAUAACAACAGAAAUUGUCUAUUUAUGAACAAGCUGAAUUUGGUUGUAUGCAACUUUAUUCUUUCUCACGAGGCCCUGUUAAACUUGCUUCAUGGGCCUCAUCUUCCCAAGCCCUGACUGAAAUCUCAGGUAGGUCCCAUCAGUUUGGGGGUCAUUUUUACCUAAUAAAAUGUUCUCUAACUUUCCAGUAUUGACGAGUGCAGGUGUCCUUGAGAAUUACAUAAUUCUACUAUGGUGCCAUAUAUAUAUUUUUUCAAACUCAUUGAAGGAAAAAUCUCUGCCUAGUUAAGUGGAGCACCCACAUUUAAUCUAGAAAGCCUACAUUUGGGAAAGGAAUGGACAACAUUCUCCCCCGUUUGUUCUACCCGUUUUCCCAUAUUGCUGACUGCCAUUUCUUACCCAGAAUUGAGGUGAUAAGAAAAGAGCACAGUCAUAGAUACCUGACACAAUGUCAGUCCAGCACUGGAGACCCCUGGAUGGGGUUGAUGACCAAGGUGGACCUGCUCUACAUCAUAGAAUUCUUUAGUGGUUCUCUGCAGAUCUGCCCAAUGGGGCUCUCUUCUCUACCUCUCUAGAAACAGGAAAUGUCCCCACUUGUGCUAGCCACUUAUAAGCUCCCUCAACCCCCUGGGACUUCAGUGGUCACAGGCUAAUGAUGCCUCUUUGGGCCUCCAGCCAGUCCUCUUGGAAGCUUCUUUUCUCAAAAUCCUGUUUUGGUCUCCAAGAAACACAGUUUUCUUACAGUUUGUUCUUCCUGGUAAAAAUGUACCUGGCUCUCAAGGCAACCCUCUCUACCCCACUCUCAGUACACAGCUGCAGCCACAGCUUCUCAUCUCAGGCUUUUCUCCUUUGAGCUAUUAUAAGUACACUAUAGUAAUAAAAUUUACAAUGCUAUUUUUUAUGUUAUAAAUAAGUUCCACUUGUUCUUCAUGUAAUUAUUCUUCUACUUUAAGAAUCUGCUUGCUUAGAUCUCAUUUUGUCACUUUGUAUCUCUGCUCAAAAGUAAGACUGAUUGGAGUUUUUGCUUAGGUUUGAUAUCAGGGUUUUGCUAAUUUUCUAAAGUUUUAUGAGAAUGAUUCCAUAUGUUUCCAUGGUCUGGAAAAGUUUUUAUAGAAAGGUAAUAACUUUUCUAUGGACAUUUUAAACACACAAAAAAUGCUGUUUUGAAUUGUGAUAAGGCCCUAGGAGAGCUUAAGACAACCAAUUUAGAAAACUCCAAGACCAAAUGAGGAGAGGGGCUGAUGGGACCUUCUGAAUCUGGUGGGCACAUUCAUUGGUCUUGUGCAAAACCUUUCUCUGAUAGGUCAGGCUCUUUCUAACUCCAAGAUUUUCAUAUAAUUUCAAAUAGCUAACUGGCUUGUAUUAUAAAUAUUUAAAAAAAUAUUAUUUCAUUUUUUCCUGCCUGCCUGGGAUAUUCUCUCACUCUUCUUGGCUAAUUUCCUGGUCCUUUCUCAGUUCUUGAUUUAAAUGUUACUCCCUCAGAGAAAAUUUCCAUCUCCACAAUAAUCUGAAUUAUAUCAUCAGUUAUAGUUUCUCAGACCACCUUGAACUUUUAAUACUAGCACUUAUCACAAUUUGCAGUUAUGUAUUUAUUAUUGUAUAAUCUUUGAAGUCUUUUUUACCCCCUUUAAGACAGUGAUCUCAUCCCUGUUAUUCAUGAGUGAAAGAUGAGGACUGUGUUUUCUCUCCCAUAACUACAUACACAACUCACUGUGCACUCAGUAAAUUCAUAGCACACACCAAUGCUCAACAAAACUGUUUUAGUUUAGUGUAAAAAUGCUUUUUAAUAUAUGCAUGACUUUUAUAAAGAGAUGAGUUCCACUUUCUGUUGUGUCUUCCUAGAAACCAGGUCACUCUUUGAACCUGUGGAACUUAUAGAACCUGUUUAGAAAAGUAUCGAUCAAACCCAAUCCCUACAUUCCACUGACAAAGAAGUUAAAUGGUAGAAUAGUCAUGUGACAUCUCUAUAGGUCCUGAAGCCGUAUCUUCUUGAUUGCUGUCUUCAUGUACUUCCCACAAGCCCUAACUCCCUUUUCCUACCAAGCUCUGUUCUCUCUCUCAUCUCUUUCCCCUCCAUCAGGAGUCUGCCAUCACACCCUUUGUACUUGUAAGUUUCCAAGAUGUGAUGAGAGAAAGCAGUGUCAUAGAGCAGAAGGAGCUUAGAAAUCCAAAAGACCUGGUUUCUAAUCCUGACUCAGUCACUCAACACCUGUGUGAAUUUGUACACAUUCCUUAACUCCACUGUGCCUGUUUUCAUACCCAUAAAAUGAGUGUGAAAUUGAUAUGAACAUUAAUUUUAAAAUUAUAUGUAAAACAAGUGUCUGGCAUAGUGUCUGGCACAUUCUACUGCUUGAAAACAAGAAAUUCAUGUUAUCAGCUGGUGAUAUGGCACUCAUGGACAUGUAUUUGCCCUGAUCCUCCAUUUGCAAAGUAUAGAAACAUCUGCAGAAAAAGGUCUGAGUUCAAAUCCAAUAUAAUAAAUAAUGCACUGAGUACUCAGGUUUAUUUAUUGCUCUAACAUAGGGAAGAUAAAAUGGUCUCUGGAAAAAGUCUUUCUUCAAACUUCAUGGUGCUUCAGUGGUUGCAGCAAAGACAGGAAAAUCAAUCUUAGACUCGAUGUUUUAAUUUCUUUUCAUGAUUACUGUCCUCAAAUGGAGAAUGCAAUUUAAAUUAAUGCUGUGUUUGUUCAUUUUCCUCAAAAUGAACAUUGAUCAGAUUCCGUCUGAAGGAUCUGUAACAUCUCUUCUGUAAUUAUUUUUAAAUAUAUUAAGAGGGAGCUGUGUAUUACAGAACAGGGGCCUAUUUCUGGGAGACAGACGUUCUGGGUUCUGGCUCCUGUUCUAUCAUUCACUUACUAUGUGACCUAUGGAAAGUUACUUCUGGUUGAGCCUCCAUCUUCUCUAUAAAAUGGGUACAUAACUAACUCACAGAGAUGUUUAAGGAUCACAAAGUCAUGCAUGUUAAAGGCAAAAAGUAAAAUACCCUUAUUGUGAACUAGUGUAAUUACUACCCGUAGUCCUGAAAAAUAUGAUGAAUUUAAGCUGCACAUAAAUAAGGACCAUUGGGACUUGACACAUUAUGAUAUAAUGCUUAUUAUUAUGAUGAUGAUAUGUGCCAAAUGUUACACAGAGUACUCAGAUAGCUAACUGGCUUGUAUUAUAAAUAUAUAAAAAAAUAUUCUUUCAUUUUUAGAUGUCAGCUAAGAAAAAGUGAUGAAAAUAGUUGAGACUCACUGCUGAAUAUUAAACAUGUUUAUUAAAUAAGUAUACCUGCAAGUGAUCCAAAAUGAUCCAAAACUAACAAUACAUAUAUUUUGCACUCUUCAAUAAUGGAUUACUUUCCCUUGUAGAACAUCGAUGCAGGCUCACUGUCAUUAGUACUCUCCAGAUUGUACUUAAAUUUUCUUCUCAAUGUUUUCUCUGAUGGCCAGCAUACUGUCAUCUAAGAAAUGCUUUACCGCUGCAAAACUUAACUUAGCCCCUGUGGAAAGCUGUUAGCUAUGAGCUCUAAACUUUUAUAGAACUUUUAGAUUUCAGUUUAGAUGAAGCAAAAUGAAAUUAUACUGCUAUAAUAUAAAUUUGCCUGUAAGAGCUCAAGUAUUGGAUUGAUUGUGGCUAUUUUUAAAAAGUACAUACUGUGCAUAGGGGCUAAAUAAUACUUAAAUAGAAACAUGACUAUGUAAGGCAUCAUUUCUAUCAGCUAACACAGUGUUAUAAAUUUGACACCACUGUAAAACUUAGUCUUUCUCUUAGCCCUGAUUAGGCUAUGUAAAAUGCCCACCUUUAUUUCAGAUCAUGAAAGUGACAACCUUUAUAUCCAGACUGAUGCCAGAGGAGAUAACAUUUCCCCGAAGGGGUAAAAAAAGCUAUUGGCUACACUGAUAGGAUGGCUGGGCCAGCUGUACAUUCAUAAUCAUCAUUAGUAAUUGUUAAAUGGAAAGGAAAUAAGAACUUACCUUUUUAAAAGAGAAUGGACACACAAACAGGGCCUACUUUUCCUGGCUUGGAGAGCUACUACUUCAGAGGUUAACAUUUCUCAGCAUUCCCUAAAACUAAAAGAACUACAUUAGAAAAUACAAAGGAAGUUACUAUGAGAACAAGCCCAAGUUUUCUUGACAAAUAUUUAUUUAAUCUUUUAUUUUUUAAAACAUGCAAUGAAAAAACUUUUUAAAGAGAGAGAGAGAGAGAGAGAGAGAGAGAGAGAAUUUUUUAAUAUUUAUUUUUCAGUUUUUGGCGGACACAACAUCUUUGUUUGUAUGUGGUGCUGAGGAUCGAACCCGGGCCGCAUGCAUGCCAGACAAGCACGCUACGGCUUGAGCCACAUCCCCAGCCCCAACAAAAAAAUUUUUUAGAUGCAUUUAAAGUUGGGAAUGUGGCUCAGUGGUGCGGCACUUGCCUAGCAUGUGCAAAGCCCUGAGUUCAAUUCUCUGUACUUCCAAAAAAGGGCAUUUAAAUUAAAUUUAUUUUAAUUAAUACAUGAAAACAUAACACUGUGCAUAUUAGUCUUGUACUAUGUGGUGAUCUAAUGUUUCUAUACAUGUACACAUUAUGUAAUGCUUAAAUAAGAUUAAAUCUAUCUUCUCAAAAAUUUAUCACUUCUUUAUGAUGAAAACUUUUAAAGUCCUUUCUCCUAGUUUUUUAAAAAUUCACAGUACAUUGUUGUCAUCUAAAGUCACCUAUUAUGCAAUAGCCUACCUGAACUUUGUGCUGCUAACUCACUCUAGCUUUACACCCGUUGACAACUUUUGCCCAAGUCUUCCUGCCACCGUUUCUCCCCUGCCUCUCAUCACUGCCACUCUGCUUUCAACCUCUAUGACACCAACAUUUUUAGAUUCCACAUAUGAAUGAGAGCAUGUGCUACUUGUCUUUCUGUGCCUCACUUAUUUCAUUUAACAUAAUUAUUUCCAGUUCCAUCUAUGUUUUCACAAAUGACAGGUUUUUAUUCUUUUUAUAGGAGAAUAGUAUUCCAUUGUGUAUCUGUACAACACCUCCUUUGUCCAUUCAUCCAUAAUGAACAUUUCUGUUGUUUCCAUUUCUUAGCUAUUAUAAUUAGUGCUAAGUGAACAUGGGAGUGUGGAUGUCUCUUCAGCAUACUGAUAUAAUUUCCUUUGAAUAUAUUCCCGAGAGUGCAAUUAUUGGAUCAUGUGGUGUCUAUUUUUAAUUGUUUGAGGAACCUCCAUAUUGUUUUACAUAAUGGCUAUACUAAUUUACAUUCCCACCAACACUGUGCAAGUGUUCCCUUUUUUCCACACCCCUACCAGCACUUGUUAUCUUUAAUCUUUUUGAUAAUAGCCAUUCCUACUGGGGUGAGGUGAUAUCUGCAUUAAUCUAAUGAUCCUUGUCUUUGAGAAAUUUUUUUAUAGACCUCUUAGCCAUUUGUAUAUCUUUCUGUGAUCAAAUCAGGUGUGUGUGUGUGUGUGUACAUGCUAUUGAGUUUUUAGAGUUCCAAAUACAUUCUGUAUCUCAACCCCUUAUUAGAUGCAUACCUUCCAAAUAUUUUCUCCCAUUCUAUAGGUUGUCUCUUCACCCUGUUGAUUGCUUUCAUUGCUGUGCAGAAGCUUUUAAAUGUAAUCUCAUUUGUCAAUUUUUGCCUUUGUUUCCUGUGUUUUUAGUCUUGUCCAAAAAUAUCUUUGACCAUUUCAAUGUACUGAUGUGUUUCCCCUAUGCUUUCCUAUAGAAGUUUCUUUUUCUUUUCUUUUUUUUUGGGGGGGGGGGGUGCAGGGAUUGAACUCAGGGGCACUCAACCACUGAGCCACAUCCCCAGCCCUAUUUUGUAUUUUAUUUCGAGACAGGGUCUCACUGAGUUGCUUAGUGCCUUGCUUUUGCUGAGACUGGCUUUGAACUCGCUUUCCUCCUGCCUCAGCUUCCCAAACCACUGGGAUUACAGGUGUGCGCCACCCGCCCAGCUUCCUAUAGACGUUUCUUAAUUUCGUAUUUUUUAAAUCGGUUGUCUUCAUUUAAAUAGCUAAGUUAAAUGUUUUUCACUCAUCAUUCAGCAAAUAAAUUAUCGAUCAACUAGUACAGGUUCUUAAAAAAAAAUUUUGUUUUCACUAUUUAAGACCUUAAUGAUGAAAUGGAUAAGCCACAGUCCCUACCUUCUUUUCCUUCAAGGAAAAGAAAAAUGCAUUACUAGGCAAUGAGAAAAUAAUAGGAUUCUAUAGCAAGUUUCUUCUAAACAUCAAAACACAGAAACGUGUGUGAUCCAUGUUGUUAACGUGUUUCAUUAAACAUUUCAUGAAAGAAGCAGCAUUUAGUUUGAGUGUUAAAGGUUAAAGUAGAUAAUACUAAGAUAGAGAGGGAGAGAGAGAGGGAGGGAGGGAGGGAGAGAGGGAGGGAGGGAGGGAGAGAAAUUUAUUGUGAAAAACCUUAGAAUUCAGAAUGUUAAAAAGUAUGACAUCAACAGGAGUCAAGCG
rnacentral:lncRNA from 1 species